rnacentral:SRP_RNA from 1 species
GCAGCGCGUGGUGGCGCUUGUCUGUAGUCCCAGCUACUCGGGAGGCUGACGCUGGAGAAUCACUUGAGUCCAGGAGUUCUGGGCUGUAGUGCGCUAUGCCGAUCGGGUGUCUGCACUAAGUUUGGCAUCAAUAUGGUGACCUCCUGGGAGCGGGGGACCACGAGGUUGCCUAAGGAGGGGUGAAUCGGCCCGGGUCGGAAACGGAGCAGGUCAAAACUCCUGUGCUGAGCAGCAGUGGAUCACGCCUGUGAAUAGCCACUGCACUCCAGCCUGGGCAACAUAGCGAGACUCCGUCUCU